GUAAAAAGCCAGCUUUCCACAAAAAGAAAUUAACAGAAUAGUAAGAAAGCAAUUACACUGUGGAGAGGAAAGUUGAGUGUGAGCUUGAUAUUUUAGUGCCUUUUCUCAGGAAAGAGACAAUUGCUUAAGGAUGUGGACUUUUCUGCUGCUUCUCCUGGGUCAAGGCUCUGUGUUGAGUGUCCUCGUCAACCAAAAGCCAAAACAGGACAUCUGUCAAAGUGGAACCUCGCUGAAAAUCCAGUGUGUGGUUGACAGUCAAGUUACGAUCAUGUUAUGGUACCAACAGUUCCAGGGGCAGAGCUUGGUGCUCAUGGCAACUGUAAAUCAAGGCUCAGAAGCCACAUAUGAGAAAGGAUUCACCAAGGACAAGUUUCCUAUCAGCUUCCCAAACCUAACAUUCUCAACUUUGACAGUGAGCAAUGUGAGGCCUGAAGACAGCAGCUUCUAUUUCUGCAGUUCUGGAGACACAGUGCUGGCUGCAAGUGAGGGAUCUCAGCAAGAACCCCCUCUUCCUCCACCCAGCUCUCCCUAG